rnacentral:rRNA from 1 species
CCGGCGCACGGUGAGUAACGCGUAUGCAACCUGCCUAUCAGGAGGGGAUAACCCGGCGAAAGUCGGACUAAUACCGCAUGAAGCAGGGGCCCCGCAUGGGGAUAUUUGCUAAAGAUUCAUCGCUGAUAGAUAGGCAUGCGUUCCAUUAGGCAGUUGGCGGGGUAACGGCCCACCAAACCGACGAUGGAUAGGGGUUCUGAGAGGAAGGUCCCCCACAUUGGUACUGAGACACGGACCAA